UGUCCUUAGUUACCAGCACGUUAUGGUGGGCACUCUAAGGAGACUGCCGGUGACAAACCGGAGGAAGGUGGGGAUGACGUCAAGUCAUCAUGGCCCUUACGGCCUGGGCUACACACGUGCUACAAUGGCCGGUACAAAGGGUUGCCAAGCCGCGAGGUGGAGCUAAUCCCAUAAAACCGAUCGUAGUCCGGAUCGCAGUCUGCAACUCGACUGCGUGAAGUCGGAAUCGCUAGUAAUCGUGAAUCAGAAUGUCACGGUGAAUACGUUCCCGGGCCUU
rnacentral:rRNA from 1 species